rnacentral:rRNA from 1 species
CCCCUAGAUGUUCUGGGCCGCACGCGCGCUACACUGAACAGUUCAACAAGUCUUAACCUUGGCCGAUAGGUCUGGGUAAUCUUUGAACGCUGUUCGUGAUUGGGAUAGACCUUUGCAAUUAUGGGUCUUCAACGAGGAAUUCCUAGUAAACGCAAGUCAUCAGCUUGCAUUGAUUACGUCCCUGCCCUUUGUACACACCGCCCGUCGCACCUACCGAUUGAAUGGUCCGGUGAAAUCUCGGGGCGGCGGCUUGGUCGCUUGCGUCCGACUGCUGAAACUUGAUUAAACCAUAUCAUUUAGAGGAAGAUGAAGUCGUANCA